rnacentral:rRNA from 1 species
UACAGAGGUCUCAAGCGUUGUUCGGAUUCAUUGGGCGUAAAGGGUGCGUAGGCGGCGCCGUAAGUGGGGUGUGAAAUCUCGGGGCUUAACUCCGAAACUGCAUUCCAUACUGCGGUGCUUGAGGGCUGGAGAGGAGACUGGGAUUCAUGGUGUAGCAGUGAAAUGCGUAGAGAUCAUGAGGAAGACCAGUGGCGAAGGCAGGUCUCUGGACAGUUCCUGACACUGAGGCACGAAGGCCAGGGGAGCAAACGGG